rnacentral:rRNA from 1 species
UACGAAGGGGGGCUAGCGUUGCUCGGAAUCACUGGGCGUAAAGGGUGCGUAGGCGGGUCUUUUAAGUCAGGGGUGAAAUCCUGGAGCUCAACUCCAGAACUGCCUUUGAUACUGAGGAUCUUGAGUUCGGGAGAGGUGAGUGGAACUGCGAGUGUAGAGGUGAAAUUCGUAGAUAUUCGCAAGAACACCAGUGGCGAAGGCGGCUCACUGGCCCGGGUACUGA